UACGUAGGUGGCAAGCGUUGUCCGGAAUUACUGGGUGUAAAGGGCGUGUAGGCGGGACUGCAAGUCAGAUGUGAAAUUCCCAGGCUCAACCUGGGGGCUGCAUCUGAAACUGUGGUUCUUGAGUGCUGGAGAGGAAAGCGGAAUUCCUAGUGUAGCGGUGAAAUGCGUAGAUAUUAGGAGGAACACCAGUGGCGAAGGCGGCUUUCUGGCCCGUUACUGACGCUCAGGUGCGAAAGCGUGGGGAUCAAACAGG
rnacentral:rRNA from 1 species